AGAUAAGAGAAUAAUUAACAGUGAAGAGACGCCUUUGCUUGAAGACAACUUGAGUAAGAACUUCAAGGGCUUGGGGUACGGAUUUGAGAGAACAAAAGGGUAUAAUAUAAUCUUCCUGGAAUAAGAAUAUGGAUUAAACAAAGUUUAUACUCAAUAAAUACUUGAGAAGGGAAGAAAGGGACUAAGGGAGGAGAGAAGAGAAAGAGGAGGAAAAAGAAGAAAAUAGAUUUAAAGGAAAGAAAGGAAGAGAUAGAAAAAAAUUUCCCACAAACACAGAGGCUCCAGCUCUGAGUUGAGGCACCAGUUGAGAACAGUAGGAAAAAGCAAGU
rnacentral:lncRNA from 1 species